CCUGAACAAGAACAGCAAAGCUUGAAGCAUUCAAACAGCCACCACUGCCUCGGUGGUGGUGGCAUUCUCCUGCUUUAGGGAAAGUCCCCGGAACUUUGGCGCCUUGUGUGCUUUGUCCGUGGAAACACGACCGUCUCGUAAACUGGUGCAGGCGGUGUUGCUCGUUCUCCUGUACUCGGGUCCUUGGAUUGUUUUGUCUGGUGCUGUUUGGAGGGGCAUUCCUCGCUCGAAAGAGGUGGAUAAGGAUACGGAGUCUACGAAUUGUCCUCUUCACUCAGUUUUCGGCCAUGUACAGUCUGGGACACGGGGAGGCCGAUACCAAUGCUCCUGUCCUUUAUUCGUUCGCAGUCGAUAGUUAUUUUGCUGCACCAGACCUGUGUCUGGUGUAACCCAAUGGGGCUUAGUCUUUUGUUCAG
rnacentral:RNase_MRP_RNA from 2 species